AGUGGCAGACGGGCGAGUAAUGUAUAGGAAUCUACCUAGUAGUACGGAAUAAUUGUUGGAAACGGCAACUAAUACCGUAUACGCCCUACGGGGGAAAGAUUUAUCGCUAUUAGAUGAGCCUAUAUUAGAUUAGCUAGUUGGUAAGGUAAUGGCUUACCAAGGCAAUGAUCUAUAGCUGAUCUGAGAGGAUGAUCAGCCACACUGGAACUGAGAUACGGUCCAGACUCCUACGGGAGGCAGCAGUGGGGAAUAUUGGACAAUGGGCGAAAGCCUGAUCCAGCUAUGCCGCAUGAGUGAAGAAGGCCUUCGGGUUGUAAAGCUCUUUUAGUGAGGAAGAUAAUGACGGUACUCACAGAAGAAGUCCUGGCUAACUCCGUGCCAGCAGCCGCGGUAAUACGGAGAGGGCUAGCGUUAUUCGGAAUUAUUGGGCGUAAAGGGCGCGUAGGCGGAUUAGUAAGUUAAAAGUGAAAUCCCAAGGCUCAACCUUGGAAUUGCUUUUAAAACUGCUAAUCUAGAGAUUGAAAGAGGAUAGAGGAAUUCCUAGUGUAGAGGUGAAAUUCGUAAAUAUUANGAGGAACACCAGUGGCGAANGNGUCUAUCUGGUUCAAAUCUGACGCUGAGGCGCGAAG
rnacentral:rRNA from 1 species